UGGGGAAUUUUGGACAAUGGGCGCAAGCCUGAUCCAGCCAUGCCGCGUGCGGGAAGAAGGCCUUCGGGUUGUAAACCGCUUUUGUCAGGGAAGAAAUCUUCUGAGUUAAUACCUCGGGAGGAUGACGGUACCUGAAGAAUAAGCACCGGCUAACUACGUGCCAGCAGCCGCGGUAAUACGUAGGGUGCAAGCGUUAAUCGGAAUUACUGGGCGUAAAGCGUGCGCAGGCGGUUUUGUAAGACAGAGGUGAAAUCCCCGGGCUCAACCUGGGAACUGCCUUUGUGACUGCAAGGCUUGAGUGCGGCAGAGGGGGAUGGAAUUCCGCGUGUAGCAGUGAGAUGCGUAGAUAUGCGGAGGAACACCGAUGGCGAAGGCAAUCCCCUGGGCCUGCACUGACGCUCAUGCACGAAAGCGUGGGGAGCAAACAGGAUUAGAUACCCUGGUAGUCCACGCCCUAAACGAUGUCAACUGGUUGUUGGGAAGGUUCCUUCUCAGUAACGUAGCUAACGCGUGAAGUUGACCGCCUGGGGAGUACGGCCGCAAGGUUGAAACUCAAAUGAAUUGACGGGGUCAUAGCUGUUUCCUG
rnacentral:rRNA from 1 species